UCCGCAACUUUCUAUAUCCGGUGUGGCUUCAAUCAAAGGAGGGGGAAUUUUCAAAUCUUUUACUUAUAUCUCAGUAUACUGCGUAGUUAUGAGUAAUAUGCGUCCACCGAAUCGCAGUCCGUUUCAACAAGGUAACAUGUCUACUCCGACAGGGUUUAAUCACCAUCGAUCGCCUCAGAUCAAGAAACAUAAUAGUAGCCCUGCCUGGGGGUCAGGUGCGAUUGUAGGCCCCAAGUCGAAUGGGCCCCGACCAGGUCAAUUUACUUCGCCGCCACAAUAUAAUUUAACAUCUCCUCCUCCAAGGCCACACCAACAACAGUUUCCCCCCUACCAUAAUUUCAUGACCAGUCCCCGUCAUUAUGGUAACAGCUUUGGUAAUUGUGGAAACACGUUUAGAACACCACAACCUGUGGUCCGAAACCCCUCACCUCAGAAAAGUUGGAGCUGUGACAAGAAUUUCCGCCCCAUGUCACACCAGAGGUUAAAUAUGAAGAGUCCUAGACGAGAUCCUAAUUCAAAUCCUGGAGGAUGCAAUGACAUAGCACAAUACUAUCACCCGAGUAUGUUGGCUGAUCCGUGGCAAAAAUUGACUCCCGUUCCCGUUACACACACACCCUCUGCGACCACAUGAUACAAUACAGGGAUGUUGUUCAAUAGUCAGGCUACCCAGUACUAUUUUGCCAAGUACGGUAACAGAAUUAUCUUCGGUGACAACAGAUAAAAUGUGGUUAUAGCUAAAUACGGCAGCAGUACUUUCACAGUUUCUUACAAUGGAUAGAUACCUCAACCUCAAGAAUGUGUUGUCAACGUACUGUUAUUGGUGUUACUGAUUUUGUUUCAGCAGUUAACUAUACAUGGAGUGAAAAUAAUAAUUUGGAUUUCCCAACAUUGAGGCAGCUUUUCCAACACUGAGUGUUUGAACUUUGAACAUUUUCAAGUGUUGAUUAUUAUUUGACAAUGGAAUGUCUUUUUAAUUUGUGCAUCGUGUUGAAACUCGAACUUCCUUUAUUACCAGUUUAGGCAAUUAGUGAUCGAGAAUGAGUCAAAGAAUUCUGGAAUUUCUCGAUAUCUACCAGUCUAACUGGUACCCAACCUAUUUACCUGCAGUCUGCUUAGUAUUUGUCAUCUUACUUUCAUCUCUCUUUAUUUGAAAUUUCGUUAUAUAUUUUAGUGAACAAACAGUUCCAAUAUUGAUAGUCCAAGGCAUUUCAAUAAACUAAGAAAUUUGGACGUUUGUGUAUUUGACUAACUGGUAAGCAGAUUUUAAUUUUGGCUUAUUUUAAAAAUGUCAUCAUUUCAUUUCUAACUAUCAAGUUACUGUACGUUUCAGUGACUGUCCCUUGUGUGAUACUAACAGGCUUGAUAAGACUUAGAAAUUUGUUAUUUGUUGACAAUUUUAGACUGACUGUCAGUUUUAGUUGUUUUAUAUAUUGUAAAUUGUGUAUAUUAUUUGUGUAUUUAUAGCAGAUUGUCAUUGAACUUUGUAUAUACAUAUAUAUCUAUUCAAAAGAUAGCCUAACCUUGUUAAGAUCUGAUGAAUGUUUUAUCUAGAUUAUAUUAACUGCAGAAUAUUUUAACAUGCUCAAGAACCCUGUCUGAUAUACCUGAUGGAACGAACGCCCUAUAAAUCUUCAGUCAUAUUAAUAAUUGUUUUGACAUUCCUAGUAUGUGUUCUGUAUAAUAAUAGGAAAUAUCAGAUUCUAAUUGUCGAUUUAAUCUAUAAAAGGAACCGAAUGGAUUGGUAAAAGAUUAUAAAUCAUAAAUAAUGUUAUGGCAUACUUUUCUGUUUAAAUGUGUAUAGAUAUAAAACAUUUAUAUGCUAGUUCUUAGAUGAAUAAAAGGAACAAUUGAUUUCAAAUCCC